rnacentral:rRNA from 1 species
CCUACGGGAGGCAGCAGUGGGGAAUAUUGGGCAAUGGGCGCAAGCCUGACCCAGCAACGCCGCGUGAAGGAAGAAGGCUUUCGGGUUGUAAACUUCUUUUAGGAGGGAAGAGCAGAAGACGGUACCUCUUGAAUAAGCCACGGCUAACUACGUGCCAGCAGCCGCGGUAAUACGUAGGUGGCAAGCGUUGUCCGGAUUUACUGGGUGUAAAGGGCGUGCAGCCGGGAAGACAAGUCAGAUGUGAAAUCCCGGGGCUCAACCGCGGAACUGCAUUUGAAACUGUUUGUCUGGAGUACCGGAGAGGUGAUCGGAAUUCCUGGUGUAGCGGUGAAAUGCGUAGAUAUAAGGAAGAACACCAGUGGCGAAGGCGGAUGACUGGACGGCAACUGACGGUGAGGCGCGAAAGCGUGGGGAGCAAACAGGAUUAGAUACCCCAGUAGUC